rnacentral:ncRNA from 1 species
CGCGUAGCUGGUCGGAUAACGACAGCGGCUACGGGAUACCCCGGGACUGUGGGAUAGUCUUGAGAACCUGGGCGAGGCGGCGAAGUUAGCACCUCGAGACGAACGGCUGACGGGC